rnacentral:tmRNA from 1 species
GGGGGCGACAGGUAUCGACGGGUUCAGAAGCGGUCUGACGGUUGCAUGUCGAGGUAUCCGCUGCCUCGUUAAACUGGCGGAUAGAAAUAACUGCCGCAUAAAUACGGCACGCUGUUCCGAAUAACAGGAGCAGCCGUCCUCCCCGGAAUAGCUUUCCUUUCGGGGGCUGGGCGGAAGAAGGAAAGCUGGCUGUGAAGCCCCGUUCCCAGACGUAAGCAGCGAGAUUAAAUGGGAGCUAGGUCUGAUAAGGCCGACCGGAGCCGA